GCAUGCACAACCAUGAUCCAACGGACCAGUGGCUCGCAAUCUGAAGGCCGCGCGAGCGGCGGAUGCGGCGAGAAGAUCAGUCGGUUGAUUGGAGGCUUUUUCCAUAAAUAAAUCAUAAUAUUUCAUCUAUGUUUGUAAGUUGAAACUUCAAAAGGUUCGACUUGAUUUUUUUUUUUAAAGAGUAUUCCUCCGAGCAAAGAAGAGACAGCCAGACACGGCACGACCGAUCCCAACAAGGCCACACAACCCACAACCACUCUCGCCCUAGCACCUUCGCCGGCGGCGGCCUAUCUCUCUCGUCCCCUGCUCUGGCCCUUCGCCGGCGGCCGGCGGCCUAUCUCCUCCUCCGCCGACCGGAUACAAGCCGCACCUAAGCUAGCACACAGACAUGGACCUUCACAAGGAAGUCAGUGCUGCUAAAUUAACUGAUGAUCUAGUGGUUGAUAUCCUCUCCCGGCUGACGUACAAGUCUUUUUGCCGCUGCAAGUGUGCCUAUAAGGCCUGGUCUGCCUUUUCCUCUGAUCCAGACUACCGCUAGAAGCUCCCCAAAAAAGUAACCACUGGACUUCUGUACCAAGGUCACAAUAAGUCUGCUAUCCCGCUUGUAAGCCUGUGCCCAGAUGAUGGGGAAAUAGACGGAAUUCUUGCUGAUGUGCCACACUAUGAGCAUUUAGAAUUCCUCGACUGCUGCAAUGGUUUAGUCCUUUGUAAGUAUAGGAGCAGCUAUACUUCUACAAACAUUUGCCGCUUCGUUGUGUGCAACCCAGCAACACGAGAGUGGAGGAUACUUCCUGAUACACACCCUGGGACAGAUGACCCUCGAUAUGUAACUAUUUUGGCGUUUGAUCCAUCACGGUCACCGCAGUUCUAUAUCUUCAAUUUUCGUCUGAAACAUGUCCAUGGUUUGAUACUUGGUACCAGCAAACUUGAGAUAUUCCGGUCUGAAAGUUCGACAUGGCUUGAGGAUGAUACCUUGGACCGAGAUAUAAAUAUUUCUGGGCGAACACACUUAUUUGUUAAUGGAAUGUUGUAUGUGUCUGUUGGGUAUGAAGUUUUGGUGUUCGAAGGCCUGGAGGCAAUGAGUGAUGGCAUACCGCCCUAUCAUCAUACCAUAAGUUUGCCGCCAGAAGCUUCAUACCUAAGCACUUUUACCAAUGGUUGCUUUGGCAAAUCUUCAGGGAUCUUACACUAUGCAUUGCCACAUGAGAAUGGUCGCUCGAUUGUUGUUUGGACAUUGGAUGAUUUUGGUCAUCAUUCAUGGACUUGGACUAAGAUGUGUCAUCUUAGCAUGACCGAUGCAUUUGGAAAGGAUGAGUUUGUUCACUACGACGAUGGUGGCGAUGGUGGUGAUGAUAAAUGGUUUUGGAACUGCGAUUAUCGGAUUGUCGACCUCGACUUGGAGAGAGGGCUUGUUUUCCUCCAUGACCAGAAGGCAAAUAAGCUUCUUUCAUACAAUAUCAGGACGGGGAAACUCAACGAGAUACAAGACGCCUUUGGGUGGGAUCGAUACUAUGUCUACGUACCAUGCUACUCAGAGCGUCCAGCCCAAGAAACUUCAGUUCAGUGAAUGCCAACUUCUGUUCAAUGUGCAUCUGUGGUUGUUCUGCUGCGAUAUGCUGAACCACCUUGUAUAUCACGCUAGCCGGAGUCAUCCGUGUGACCAGUCCAGGAACCCUGCCAUUUUUACUUUGUCGAUGCAGAGUUACGUUCCUGUACUAACCUAAAACUCUUCACCAUGUUCCUAGUUAAAUACCUUGUUUAAGUUUGCUAUAUAUCUUUUAUGUAAGAUUUGAUGAGCUGUUCGUUUGGCUCUGUUUGUGGUUGCGGUGGUUUUAAACCAGUACUUUCUUA
rnacentral:rRNA from 1 species